GCGAGUGAAGAGGGAAAAGCUCAAAUUUUGAAUCUGGCGGUCUUUUGGUCGUCCGAGUUGUAAUCUAGAGAAGCGUCUUCCGCGCUGGACCGUGUAUAAGUUUCCUGGAAUGGAACGUCGUAGAGGGUGAGAAUCCCGUCUUUGACACGGACUACCAGGGCUAUGUGAUGCGCUCUCGACGAGUCGAGUUGUUUGGGAAUGCAGCUCAAAUAGGGUGGUAAAUUCCAUCUAAAGCUAAAUACAGGCGAGAGACCGAUAGCGAACAAGUACCGUGAGGGAAAGAUGAAAAGAACUUUGGAAAGAGAGUUAAACAGUACGUGAAAUUGCUGAAAGGGAAACGCUUGAUGUCAGUCGCGUCGGCCGGGGAUCAGCCUUGCUUAACCGCUCGGCGUACUUCCUGGUAGACGGGUCAGCAUCAGUUUCGACCGUCGGAAAAUGGCUCGGGGAAUGUGGCACUCUUUCGGGAGUGUGUUAUAGACUCGAGUCGAAUGCGAUGGUCGGGACUGAGGAACUCAGCACGACCUUAGGGUUCGGGACUUCGGUCCACGUUUGCGUGCUUAGGAUGCUGGCAUAAUGGCCUUAAGCGACCCGUCUUGAAACACGGACCAAGGAGUCUAACAUGCAUGCGAGUGUUUGGGCGAUGAAAACCCGAGCGCGUAAUGAAAGUGAAAGUCGAGACCUCUGUCGUG
rnacentral:rRNA from 1 species